GCUCGUAGUUGGAUUUCGGGCGUGGAGGUUCGGUCCGCCGUUUCGGUGUGCACUGUCUUUCUGCGUCUUUCUGUCGGGGACGCGCUUCUGGCCUUAAUUGGCUGGGACGUGGAUUCGACGAGGUUACUUUGAAAAAAUUAGAGUGUUCAAAGCAAGCUAAAGCUCUGAAUACAUUAGCAUGGAAUAACGCGAGAGGACUCGGUCCUUAUUUUGUUGGUCUUCAAGGAUGGAGUAAUGAUUAAGAGGGACAGUUGGGGGCAUUCGUAUUUCAUUGCUAGAGGUGAAAUUCUUGGAUUUAUGAAAGACGAACUUCUGCGAAAGCAUUUGCCAAGGAUGUUUUCAUUGAUCAAGAACGAAAGUUGGGGGCUCGAAGAUGAUCAGAUACCAUCCUAGUCUCAACCAUAAACGAUGCCGACUAGGGAUUGGCAGGUGUUACAUCGAUGACUCUGCCAGCACCUUAUGAGAAAUCAAAGUUUUUGGGUUCCGGGGGGAGUAUGGUCGCAAGGCUGAAACUUAAAGGAAUUGACGGAAGGGCACCACCAGGAGUGGAGCCUGCGGCUUAAUUUGACUCAACACGGGGAAACUUACCAGGUCCAGACAUAGUAAGGAUUGACAGAUUGAGAGCUCUUUCUUGAUUCUAUGGGGUGGUGGUGCAUGG
rnacentral:rRNA from 1 species